rnacentral:sRNA from 1 species
CCGGGCGUUCGCAGGGGAGGAUUUUCCUUGCUGCUGCUUAACUUGGAGGAGUACUACUUUGAACAGCAUAGAGCCAAUCACAUUUUGCACAAGGGCAGUCACCAUGAAAGGAAAAUCAGAGGCUCCUUAAAAAUAUGUUCAAAAUCGGUGAUUUUUGAACCAGAUUCAAUAUCCCAGCCCAUCAUCAAGAUUCCUUUGAGAGACUGUAUAAAAAUAGGAAAGCAUGGAGAAAAUGGAGCCAAUAGACACUUCACAAAGUAUGUCAUUUUCACCACUGUUUAAUUUUACUUCAACCAAAAAGCUGUAUAUAUUUAAUGACUUUUAUCUGUAUUUUAGGGCAAAAUCUGGGGGUAUUUCACUCAUUUUCAGUCAGGUAUAUUUCAUUAAAGAACAUAAUGUUGUUGCACCAUAUAAAAUAGAAAGGGUAAGUAAAGCUUUUCAUGUAUUUCCAGCAAUUUAUAUAGUCAUUUUGAACAAUAAAAUUUUGUGACU